CAGGAAUCUCAAUUGUUGUUUGUUAAUAUAUGGAACAGGAUGGCAUCAAAUAUUACAGAGUAGAAAAAGUCUGGGGUGAUGAUUAAGAAAUCCCGUCCCAUCGUCUCUAUAUCCACCUCCAUUGAAUUCAGAACCCCCAGCUUCUGAUAAGUAUCUUCCCUCCUCAGGGUAGAUGUAUACAGCUCUAGAAGAUGGUUAAAAACCUCCUCACACCCUCUGGUCUCCUAUUUGCCACCCCUUCAGCCUCCUGCUCCAGUUAGUUCCAGAAACCUUCCCUAUGGAAAGUACAAUUGUUAACUCUUUGUUGCCUAUUAACAUUUUUUGUUGUAAUUCCGUUUUUCUCCUCUCCCCUUUAUUUCUUAAAAUCCUUUGUACCUUAGAAAUUAGUCUGUCAGUUCCAUCUGCCCACAAAAUCCUUCUCAGUACUGGGAGCG